rnacentral:rRNA from 1 species
UACGGAGGGAGCUAGCGUUAUUCGGAAUACUGGGCGUAAAGCGCACGUAGGCGGCUUUGUAAGUAAGAGGUGAAAGCCCAGAGCUCAACUCUGGAAUUGCCUUUUAGACUGCAUCGCUUGAAUCAUGGAGAGGUCAGUGGAAUUCCGAGUGUAGAGGUGAAAUUCGUAGAUAUUCGGAAGAACACCAGUGGCGAAGGCGGCUGAACUGGACAUGUAUUGACGCUGAGGUGCGAAAGCGUGGGGAG